rnacentral:rRNA from 1 species
UACGAAGGGGGCUAGCGUUGCUCGGAAUCACUGGGCGUAAAGCGCACGUAGGCGGCUUUCUAAGUCAGGGGUGAAAUCCUGGAGCUCAUCUCCAGAACUGCCUUUGAUACUGGAGAGCUUGAGUCCGGAAGAGGUGAGUGGAACUCCGAGUGUAGAGGUGAAAUUCGUAGAUAUUCGGAAGAACACCAGUGGCGAAGGCGGCUCACUGGUCCGGUACUGACGCUGAUGUGCGAAAGCGUGGGGAGCAAACAGG